CUUAAACACAGCCAGAAGUCCACACAGAAGUUGGCCUGAAACAACAAAAAAGCAAUUUGGACACCUCCCCACCCUCCGCCAGUGUUUGGGUCCAGUUGGAUUAGUCUUUGCACAAGCCUGCUGCCCACUUUCUGCUGACUGCCUCUAAAUUGGUUUGAGCUGCCUGAAGCCUGAGCAAAUCCAGCUGCCCGUCCCAGGGACCCCUGCCUGCAUCGAAGUCCUUGGUCCAUCCAUUGACAUUAGGUCCUGGCAUCAUUUUCCACCUCCUCUAGGCAUGAUGAGGCUGCAGGGAGGUAGAGUGGGUCCUGAAUGUGCAUGUAAGAAGCACACAGCUUCAUUCUCUCCUAGUGUUUCCAAAGUGGCUGGGUGCUAACUGGCUCACCAAUGCUGGGUGGGACGCCUGG
rnacentral:lncRNA from 1 species